rnacentral:lncRNA from 1 species
CUAAAAUGGCUAAUAAAAACACAGACGUUCGUAUAAAAGCAAUAAUAAAAGAACCAUACAUGAUUAACUCAACAGGAGGUAACUGUUUUCCUGAAGACGUGAACUACUACCCCCUCCCCUAGUUUGACACACACAUUCCUACUUAUUCAUAUGAAAACACGUGACAAUGAUAAUAAGUGUGAAUUCCCAAUUUACUUCCCAUGAAAAAAGCUGACAAUAAUAAUGAUUGUGAAACCCCCAUCUACGAAAAUUGGAUUUUUACAAAAGAAGUAGAAAAACAAGAUUAAUGUUUGAACUUCUUUCACGAUAAAACAUAAAAACAAGAAGAUGUGGUACGAUUGUCAAUGCGAAAACUCAUCGACGGUACCAGUGUCCAAAUGACAUGUAAGUUAACAGCUGUAAUAUCAACGUACUUACCUCAUAUGGAGCAAAUCCAUACGGAAUAAUAAGCUUUAAAAGUCCCUGAAAUGAUAAAUGUAAAACAAUCCAAACGAGAUCAACGGGCCGAUUCAAUUACAAAACAAUGUAUAUUUGUUACAUCAAAAUGGGUACAGUCUAGGUAACUAACUAUUUUAGACGUGGAAUUAUAUUCUACCCCGAAAAUUCCUGACUUUGUACAGGCAUAUAUAUCCUUAUGUUGAUAACGGUGGAUAAACCUGCUUAAUAGCUAGCUAAACCUCUCACUUAUAUGACAAUCGCAUAUAAUUCCGUUAUAUUGACAACCACAUGUGAGCUUUACAAACAGACGUAAUAUGUAAAAAUGUAAAAAAAUUGGGUACAGCAGUCAGCAUAGUGAUAAAAUCAAAUAAAAAACAAAACAUUUCAAUAAAGAAAAACAAAAUAAAUGGCACACAAACUCUAUAUAGACAAAGUACAUAAGCCAAAAUGAAAGACGAAGAAUAUGAAAAGUACAAAAGCAUAUUAACACAAUGGCGGGAUGUAUAAGUACCGAGCCACCCAAAAUGGAUACUGG